UGCGUAGGCUGCGCUAUAAGUCGGGUGUGAAAUCCCUCAGCUCAACUGAGGAACUGCGCCCGAUACUGUAGUGCUUGAGGAGGAUAGAGGUGAGCGGAACUAGCAGUGGAGCGGUGAAAUGCGUUGAUAUUGCUGGGAACACCCGUGGCGAAAGCGGCUCACUGGGUCCUUUCUGAGCUGAGGCACGAAAGCUAGGGGAGCGAACG
rnacentral:rRNA from 1 species